rnacentral:lncRNA from 10 species
CUUCUCAAUCUGGUGCUUAUUACAUGAGGGUGUUCAGCUUGUGAAAACAAAUGAAAUGCAUUAUGGCAUAUGCACAGUCCGUAUGCGUACAAUAAUUUAGCAGGAGGGUACAAUUAUUGAGCAAAGGUACCAUUUAAUAGAAAAACUAAUGGUACUAUGUUCGUGUGCUAGGUAUUCUAGGUCAUCUCAUCAAAGCCUUGCCACAACUUCAUGAUGCAGAUAUUAUUCCUGUCAAUAGCUGAGCAAAAGGACUCAAGCUAUCUUCCAAUUAUACAUAAACCCAAGUACCGAUCCUCAGGCUGCCUUGUGUAUCCUCUUAAUUAUUCUUAAAGAGCAGAGGUUGCAAGCUCGGGACCCAUGGAUUCCACACUCUAGAAGGUGCAUUUUGUUUCCUCAGGGUUGCCCCAACUAAGUGCUUUAAUUUUUAGAAGUUGUUUGCCGCGGCACAGUGGCUCACACCUGUAAUCCCAAUACUUUGGGAGGCUGAGGUGGGCAGAUCACGAGGUCAGGAGAUCGAGACCAUCCUGGCCAACAUGGUGAAACCCCGUCUCUACUAAAAAUACAAAAAUUAGCUGGGCGUGGUGGCCUGUGCCUGUAAUCCCAGCUACUCAGGAGACUGAGCCAGGAGAAUCACUUGAACCCGGGAGGUGGAGGUUGCAGUGAGCUGAGAUCGGCCACUGCACUCCAGCCUAGUGACAGAGUGUGAAACUCCAUCUCAAAAAAAAAAAAAAAAAAAAAGAAGUUGGUUGCUACGUAGUUUCACACACAAAUCAGAUUUUCGUUAUCUCUUGAAACAUUGGAAGAUCUGGCAAAGCUGGUUCUUUUCCAAGGUUAACAACAAAUGGAGCUGACUCGCAGUUACUUGCUUCCUUUGCAUCUGCUGUCCAGUUCUCCACAGUCCUGCCCCUCCCCGCUCCAUCUCAGGCGGCUUCACUGGUUUAUGUCCCCUGCCUGGCCCUGUUCCAGGCAAAGGGA